AGCGUGCCUUGUAUGCAUAACUUCAACACUCCGACACACACUUUCACAGUGCGAUCUGGACUCUACAUUGAACAGAUUAUCGGACCGGUAUCGUUAAUCAUGGAUUUGAAAUACUUGGCGGUUAUGGCUGUGCUCGCUGUGGCGACAUACGCUCCUUUCUCACAAGCUAAACCCAUCAGUCUGGUGGAGAGGUGUUGGUGUCGUUCUACAGUUAACACCGUCCCCCAGCGCAACAUCCGAGAACUGAAGUUCCUGCACACACCCAACUGCCCCUUCCAAGUGAUUGCCAAGCUGAAGAACCACAAGGAGGUUUGUAUCAAUCCCGAGACCAAGUGGCUGCAGCAGUACCUGAAGAACGCCCUCAACAAGAUGAAGACAUCCAAGCAGACCAACUAGAGAGCCUGCAGGAAGACCUACCAACAGACAUGUAACAUGAGACGUGUAGGUUGUAAUAUGUAACAUGUACUCUCCCGUCACGCACGCUGAACAGCACUUAUCCUGUCCAUCGCGGAACCAUCCAACCCACGGCUUUCCAAAACCACCACCUCUGUUACCAUCACCACUGGCACCCCUUAUAGACUCCACCCCUGUUAGCGCCAAGUGCAAUUAUAUCUGUGAGUAAGGACUGGGCUUAAAGUACGCAUUGAUGGGGCUGAGAUGGAGAGAGAGGGAGGAUUCAUAACAGGAUUCAAGCCUCACAAUCCAACUCUAUCAGCUUGUCCUGGGGAGUGUACAAGGUUCAACAGUACAUUCUGGGAAGAUCUAAGGGGCAUGGAGGUGUUCACACAUGCAUGGCAGAGCCACUAGUAUAUACAAUGGCUCAAUCCCUUAGCCCUCCCCUCGUUUUCGAGUGUCCCUCUGUGGGGGAGUGGCACUCAAAAAUGGAGCAACUAGUGGUAGGGAGAGCUAUAAUAACACUUGGGAAUGGGACAUCGCUACAUCACUUGCGCACAUCAGAAACGGCCACUGACACCACGCAAUUAAUUGACGAUGAACCUUGUGUUUUUCAGAAUGCCUACACUGGCUGCAGUAAUAACUUUCCUUAUAUUUCUCAUGCAACAAAUAUGUACUUACCAUAUGAACAUCAAAUGAGAACAGCAGAACAACAAUGGACCCGUAAUGUACCCAUCCUCUGGCUGCGGUUCAAUGUGGAGUAGUACAGAAGCAGGACUUUUAUUCCAUAGCGGUUUAACCGUCACAUUUUAUUCAGUCAUUACCAGUGAAGGCACUUUAGCUAGAACAAUUACAACUACUGUUCUGAACUAAUAUUUAUACCAAACGUUUUCAGGGUCAGUACACAGAUAGGCUACAUAGCUACACAUCCAUAGCAUACAGGUAUUUUUAUCCUCCACUACACAAUAAGGAAGAAAAGAGUUAGCUAGCGGUAGCAGGGGUUGGAACCAAAAAAAAAUUCCAAUCUCUUCGUUCUGAACCACCAUUCUUUUUUGUUUCUUUCCACUGUUCCGAUUGGAAAAGAAAUGAUUGGAAAAGGUUUGAUGUCACGUUCGUUAUAAGAAUCGGACAAAGGUGCAGCGUGGUAUGCGUGCAUUCUUAUUUACUAAAAAGGAUGAACACUGAACAAAAUAACAAAACGAAACGUGAAGCUAUACAAACGAGUGCUGACAGGCAACUACACAUAGAGAAGAUCCCAAAAACACCAAAGGGA